AGAUGGGAGAAAUCACGCCAAUGGCGGAUGCCUUGGCAGUUUGAGCCGAAGAAGGACGCGUGUAUGAGCGCGAAAACAUCGAUGAGUCCUCAAACAGACAUUAUCAAUCGAUGAUUUCCGAAUGGGGAAACCCUCCGUGUAGCAAUACAUGGAAUUUUCGCAGUUUACUGCGUUAAUGGGAACCCGGGGAACUGAAACAUCUAAGUACCCGGAGGAAAAGACAUCAUAACGAGAUUCCGUUAGUAGCGGCGAGCGAACGCGGAACAGCCUAAACCGAGGCUUCGGCUUCGGGGUUGCGGGACUGCAAUGUCCGAUGAAGUAUUUAUAGAAGAAUGAUCUGGAAAGAUCAGCCACAGAGGGUGAUAGCCCCGUAUUUGACAUGAAUGCUUCCGGUAGCAGUAUCCCAAGUACCACGGGACACGGCAAAUCCUGUGGGAAGCUGGGUCGGUCACGAUCCAAGGCUAAACACUCAAACUGACCGAUAGUGAACUAGUACCGCGAGGGAAAGGUGAAAAGAUCCCCGGGAGGGGAGUGAAAUAGUACCUGAAACCAUUGGCUAACAAACAGACAAAGUCUUGAUUUAUCAGGAUGAUGUCGUGCCUAUUGAAGAAUGAGUCAGCGAGUUUUCCGAUUCAGUGCUCUUAGUUUAACCAAGCUUAUCUUGGGAAGGCGAAGCGAAAGCGAGUCCUAAUAGGGCGAUUUUGCACUGUCGGAAAGACCCGAAACCAGGUGAUCUAACCAUGAGCAGGAUGAAGCGUAUCGAGAGGUACGUGGAGGUCCGCACCCGUUGCCGGUGAAAUGGCUUGGGACGACUUGUGGUUAGCGGUAAUAUGCCAAUCGAACUUGGAAAUAGCUGGUUCUCCCCGAGAUAUAUUUAGGUAUAGCCUCUUGCGUUUAAACCAUGGGGUAGAGCUACUGGAUGGUUUUGGCGGCAGCAAUGCUGUCAUGACUAACCAAACUCCGAAUACAUGGUGUACAGCAAGGGAGUCAGAUCUGCCCGUAUAAUCGGGUAUGGUCCAAAGGGAAACAACCCAGACUCUCGUCUAAGGUUCCAAAAUAUCUGUUAAGUGGAAAAGGCCGUUUUGUUUCCAACACAGCAGGGAGGUUGGCUCAGAAGCAGCCAUCCUUUAAAGAGUGCGUAACAGCUCACCUGAAUAGUCCCCGGCUUGCCGGGGUUGGAGACAUUGCGCCGAAAAUGAUCGGAGCUCAAACAGAUUACCGAAGACAGAGAUUUACCCCGCCUUUGGCGGGGUGAGUGGUAGGGGAGCGUUCUUAUUGCGCUGAAGCAGUACUGUAAGGUAUUGUGGAGCGGUGAGAAGUGAGAAUGCUGACAUGAGUAGUGAUUCUCCCGAUGAAAACUCGGGAUGCCGAAAGUUCAAGGUUUCCUCAGCAACGUCAGUCGACUGAGGGUUAGUCGGAUCUAACCGGAUGCCCGAGCGGGUAUUCGGGAUGUACAAGCAGUUAAUAUUCUGCUACUACUGUUAACGCGUUAUAACGCACAUACUGACGAAGUUUGCUAAUCAGAGCUUCCUAUAUGGGAGUCUAAGCAGUGAGUCCUCGGACGAGCUGUGAAUGCAAUUCUGCCUCUGGCAGGAGAGUUUGACGACGUAAGCUUCCGGGAAAAGGUAUUGUGCGGAGUUUUAGCAGUAUCCGUACCGCAAACCGACACAGGUGAACAGGUCGAGUAGACCUAGGCAUACGGGUGAUGGUGGUUCAAGGAACUCGGCAAAAAAGCUGAGCGUAAGCUUUGCAAUAUGCUCUGCCCUCUUUUGAGGGCCGCAGCGAAAGUUUUUCAACCGACUGUUUAGCAAAAACACAGGCUCCUGCAAACCAGAAAUGGGACGUAUAGGAGCUGAGGCCUGUCCGGUGCUGGUAAGUUAACCGUUGGGAUUGACCAUUUCCAUUUGGUAAUGUGAGGUUCUGGCGUAAGCUCCAGUGAACGACAGCUCUAACCCUGAGAGUUCUAAGGUAGCGUAGCCCCUUGCCGGGUAAGUUCCGGCCUGCAUGAAAGGCUUAACGAGUUGAAAACUGUCUUGAACCAUUGCCCGACGAAAUUGAAAUGGCUGUGAAGAUGCGGCCUACCUACACAUGGACAAAAAGACCCCGAGAGCUUUACUGAAACUUGACAUUGGUGCGAAGAUAAGAACUGUCGAGAAUAGGAGGGAGACUUCGGUCAACAGUGGAAUACCUCUCUUUCUUAUUUUCUCACCUCAUCUUUUUAAACAUGGAAACAGUGUUAGGUGGUCAGUUUACCUGGGGCGGGUCCCUCCAAAAAGGUAACGGAGGGGCACAAAGGUUGGCUUAUUCCGGAUGGAAAUCGGAAUAUAAGUGCAUACGCAUAAGCCAGCUUGACUGCGAGGAUGACAGUCCGAGCAGGUGCGAAAGCAGGUGUAAGUGAUCCCCCAAACGCUUGUGAUUGGCGUUGGGGCUUAACGGAUAAAAGCUACCUCGGGGAUAACAGGCUGGUCUCGCCCGAGAGUUCAUAUCGACGGCGAGGUUCGGCACCUCGAUGUCGGCUCAUCGCAUCCUGGAGCUGUAGUCGGUUCCAAGGGUUGGGCUGUUCGCCCAUUAAAGCGGUACGCGAGCUGGGUUCAGAACGUCGUGAGACAGUUCGGACUCUAUCCUGUGUAGGCGUUUAGAUUCUUGAGGAGAUUCUUCCCUAGUACGAGAGGACCGGGAAGAAGGAAUCCCUGGUGUACCGGUUGUACCACAAGUGCAUCGCCGGGUAGCUAUAUUCCUACGGGAUAAGCACUGAAAGCAUCUCAAGUGCGAAGCCUACUCCAAGAUUAGGAAUCCUUAUAGUCCGCCAGUAGACCACUGGUUUGAUAGGCUUCAGAUGUAAGCGUAGCAAUACAUUUAGUCAAGAAGUACUAACGGACGAUCUCCCAUCUCU
rnacentral:rRNA from 1 species